GGAAAAGGAGAAGUGUCGCUCCACACUGAGUUAAAGAUAUCUCCAGCAGAUAAGGCCGACACCAAACCUGCCGCAGGAGCUGAAACAAGUGACGUUUUUGGAAAUAAGAAAAAGCAGGAUCGCUCUUCAUGUGGUUCCAACACACCGUCAAGUAGUGAUAUAGAAGCAGAUAAUGCUCCUGAGAAUCAAGAAAAGGCUAACGACAAG
rnacentral:misc_RNA from 1 species